GAUGAACGCUGGCGGCGUGCCUAACACAUGCAAGUCGAACGGAGUUUUGUGAGGGAAGUCUACGGAUGGACGUUAUAAAACUUAGUGGCGGACGGGUGAGUAACGCGUGGGCAACCUGCCGUAUACAGGGGGAUAACAACUGGAAACAGCUGCUAACACCGCAUAAGCGCACGGUACCGCAUGGUACCGAGUGAAAAUCUCCGGAGGUAUACGAUGGGCCCGCGUCUGAUUAGCCAGUUGGUGGGGUAACGGCCUACCAAAGCGACGAUCAGUAGCCGGCCUGAGAGGGUGGACGGCCACAUUGGGACUGAGACACGGCCCAA
rnacentral:rRNA from 1 species